AAUGUUCAAGAUUGGCUUACCAACAUUAUUUUUAGAAUCUAACUGAGAAUAUCGUUUAUUUGCAAUCUUUUCGAACAUUGCAGUUACAUGCCAUGAGAUUUUUAUUUGGGAAAAAAACUUGUACGCCUAGACUUCAAUUUUGUUCUCUCUUGAUUGUAUUGAAUUGCGUCGCCCAAUAUGCGUCUAUUGGAAUAUAUUGCUUUCCGGCACUUUCCCUUCUUGUCUUUAGUAUUGUUGUUCACUUUGUUUAGCAAGGUUAGGGGUUUAUCAUUUUUAUAAUAAGUUGCUUCAAUGUUUUUAUUUUGUAUGCAGUGCGUUUUUUCCUUUCUUAUUAGUUGCACCUGUUUGCACUUCAAUUACAGAUUCUUGUCUCAAACAGAAGCAAGCUUCUGCAUCUCUUUGCCGAUUUCAAGACUGAAAAAGUCUAACAACCACCCAGUCUUUGGGCUUAGGAAUGGAAGAGGUCGAGGCAGUACCAAGUCAAGCAAGUUAUGCAACACAAACUUGCAAGACAAGGCUAUAUGACGCAAUACAAAUAAUGGUACAUGCUUCAGCAACCGAAAAAAAUGGUGAGAAGACGAACUAACAAAGGGUCUGGAUUGAUCGUUGGAGUGGUAUCAUCCUUGUGUAAUUUUCGCACAUUUUUGUAAAGAGAAUAACAACAUUAUGUCAUCUUGUGAUUUUUACGAGAAAAUAAUCUGAAUAUUAUAUUUUUUA